CCCAGGUCAGGCGGGGCUACCCGCUGAAUUUAAGCAUAUCAAUAGGCGGGAGGA
rnacentral:rRNA from 1 species